UCUUUGUUACGGACUGGAUAGCGUGGGGUCACAUCUCCGAUGUAGGACAGCGUCUUAAAGAGACAUGAGACCAUAGCCUACCUACACAUAUCCAAAACCAACUUUUAUUUAUUUUUUUUGACACCGAAUAUAUUGACAUGGGCAAAAUGACAUCGGUUAUUGUUGUAAAUUUUGGUAUCGGUAAAUUUUCGAUUAUUGCCCAGCCCUAAGAUGUGAUUUAGUUAGCACUGGGUAUGUUCAGGACCAAAGAAGCAACUUCAAUUAGCAGGGCGAUAUCUUCAAACUAACAAAAACUUUGUUGCAGACACACUUACACGACCAGCAGACAGAAAAUAUGACAAUGCAUCAUAAUGAGAUGAUCAUUUUUCAAAAUCUUUGGCUGUAUUUUUGUUCUUCUCUUAUUGUUAGAUUCCUUUCAUCUAUUGGUGGUUUAUGGUCUUUUUAACUUGUUUUAUGAUGGUUUAUGCUUAUACAAUACAAGAAUUUUAUUGAUACUCAAGGGGAAAUGCAUUUGAUCUGUUAUGAUCUGACCUGCAGCAACAGGUCCAGGGCUUCUCUCUGGUAGGACAUUUAACAAACUGUGUUCCAGUCAGGUAAGAGGAGAUGGCGACAUGGUUGAAGUCUCCUGAUAUUAUGCUGCGUUACAGUUACCUCCGAAGUCUGAUGUCGGAGCUGAGAAUGAUGUUACACACGAGUUGACGGAGUUCCAGUAAACAAGUCAAAAUACUACGAUGGACGCUUACUGUUAGCUGUUGUUAGCUGCUAGCCGUUGUCAUUUGUUGUCAGUGGUUGUCAGUUAUUAGCCAUUGUCAGCUGUUGUUAGUUGUUGUUAGAUAUACUAGUUGUAAACAAAGCACAACACAGUAUUUUACUCUUAUAAACACCAUAGCACCGUGUUCACAGUUAGACGUUGGCAGUACAACAUAUAUCACUUAUUUAAUUUCACAAAAAAAAAAAAAAACAGAAGUGCACAUGAACAAUACAUUAUGAGAGCUUUCACUGUUACUCUUUACUGUCAAUGCACUGCGCUGCCAUCUUGAAUUAUGACAUUGUCGUCAAGUCGGGGUUGGUGAGGAUCGUCCAACGUUCCGGGUCGGAAAUCCGACUUCAGGGGGCAACGUAGCAUUAUUACAAGUGCCUCAGGAUGUUGUCUGUAUCCUAGCAACAGUAUCGUGGAGAACAUCACACAGAACUUCAGCCGUUGCCUUAGGUGGGAUGUAUACAAGUAUUGUUAUGAUAUGACUGAACUCCCUUGGAACAUACCUCACUUGGUGGUGUCCAUCUUUUUGUUCUACUUUCGUUCUCAUUUCUGUUCUCAUGGAUCUUUCUCUUAUCUCUCUUCAUUUAUCCAUUUAUCUCUUUUUUAUAUUCUUCACUUUCCUAAUAUUAAAAAUGUGACUGUAAACCACAUACUUCUUUCAUAUUGUGCAGGCCUACUGUGCACUGCAGAUGAGAAAUCAAAGCUCAAAUUUGCUCCCAUGGGGUCUCCCUCUCUUGAAACUCGUGGCUCAUAUUAAGCUUGCAUGUGAAUCUGCAUGCAUAAAGAUGAGAAAGGCCUGCUACUUAAAUGCAGCAGCUUGGCAGAGAGAAAGAAGAAAAUGUACAAAAGAUUAUUUCAGGUCAGAGACUCCCCUGAGUAAACUUAUAUCUACAACAGAAAUCUACCGAAAAUCACAAAAAUCCACGUUGAAAAAUAGGUUUCCAAGCAGCACCAUUAUUUUGUUACCUCUGGCAGACAGCGAGGCACCUGGGAAAUCUGAGCUGACGUGACAGAGGGAGCAGGAGUCCAGCAGAAAAACUAGAUCACUUUCUUAAGCUAAUUAGCCCGGUAUAUUACCAAUCAAAAGAACCUCGCUCCCAAACACAACGGCCGGCCAAGAAAUAUAUUUGUCUUCCAUUUGUGAGCGACUGGCAGUGGAAAAACUCCAGGACUGAGUAUUAUUCACCCGAGACAUUCCUGAGGAUAAAACGCUGCAUUACAGAGGGAUCCUAGGUCUGAUUUUUGUCACUGCUGUCACUGUCUCUGCAUAAAAAAAUCACAUGACAACUUUGAUGAAAUAAAAUCCAACUGGUAAAGAUUAAAUCAGCUCAAAUCAAAGAGUGAAAAUAUUUUUUAUACUGGAGCCAAACUUCGUAAAACUGAGAACUAACUUUGUUUAAUAGUGCUAUGGGAGUAAGAGAUGCUGAGGAACUCUAAGCUGACACUUUUAAUGGUGUCCCAAACAAUACAAUAAAUAGCUGCAGUCAUUAAGCACACUGUAUAACGCAUUUUACCAGAAAUAGAAAGAAAAUGGGCACGUUUUUCAAUAACCUGCUCAGUAAAAGCGUUUUAAGUUUUUUUUUCUUCCCUUUUUCUGAUAAGCAUUUUGAAGUUUUUGAUUGUAGGCCGACACAAACGGUUUUCAAAAUAUUCUUGUUUUGUAAUCCCAGGAGAACCUCUGCAGCAGGUUUUCUGAGCACAAAAUAAGAUUAUUAAUUCGUUGUUUUAUUUGAGUUAAACUUUCAGCUUCUCUGUAUUGCUUAUUUUUCAAUCAGUCAUACUCCUGACAUCUCAAAAACAAUCUUUUUUCCUGCAACUCUUGAGCAUUUUUGUGGGACUGUUGAUUUUUUUGCUGCAGAAACGUUUUCACAGUUCUGAGAACUGUUGAAACUCCCCACCCUCCAGAGUCCAUAACAUAAGAUGACCACAACUAUGAACUAUUUUCAGUUGCUGUAACCCCUUUCAGAGGAGCUCUUUGAGCUCCUGGUUCAGGUUCUCUCCCAGCACAUGAGGGAGUUUGAGUAACAUGAAAAGUUAGUGGGAGGUAACUGAGUAGAACUGGUGACCCCCAACAAUCCGCUGAGGUAGUCAGACAUUGCUCACUGCCACCUACACUAAAAGGCCAAUACAAACACAGACAUGAAAACACAAAAGUACACAAAAGGCAACAAACAUAUCUAGAGUAAUUUAAGAAAAGCUAUAAGAAAAAUCAUGCUUAAAAAGAAAAAUGCCAACUUUUGCACACAUCACUGUUUCCAGUGCAGCAGUAAACUGACGAUUGAUUACUUUAAAGCACAGCCUAUGAUUUGUAGAUUCCUUCCAGGGCAUUGAGGGAUGGUCUUAAUCUUUUUAGUGGUCAGUAUAAACCCCUAAUAAUUAACUGGAGGUAACACCUGUAACUUUCAAUUUGCAGCUUUCACCAGUAGAGGGCGUAAAAGCAUCAUAGAUCUGUAUGAGCUGGGCUGACAGCUGCAUGAGGUUUGGUGCAAAUGCAUCCACCGCAAGAAAAACCUGGAAAUGUAAUUAUCGCUGUGUUGGUAAUAUACAAAUACAUCAUAGAGCAUUUUUAUCAAGGGAAGUAUCAUAUCCAUACAUCUGUGAGCGUAAUAAUGCAAGAAAAACUGCAGUUAUCUACUUAUGGGAUUUCUUUAUUAAUGAUAUGCCUUCAAAAUAUUGGCAAAAGGAACAGACCUUUUCUAUCCAUAUCUUCUAUCUAUCUAUCUAUCACUUUAACUUCUAAUAAGGUCAUUGUCAUAAAUUUCAGAAAAACUGGUCAUAAGUAAGUGGUGUAAAUCUCUGCAAAUUUGCUUUUGGGCAGUGAGUCCAUCCGUACUUCUCGAUGAUUGACACCGCUGUAGCUGAGCUCAGGUAUCUCACAGAUACUUGGCAGGCUGAUGAUAACAAACAGUACAACAAACAGCUACACAUCUGCACAGAAACUGCACAUUACUCAACUGAAGUAAGGUCUUCACCGACAGCAAUACUCAGUAACCAACAGCACUAACAGUAAGGGUAUUUUUGAGUGAGCAAGCAAUAUUCACAUCUCUGGGAUACCUGAAAAUAAUAUACCCUAAUAUAAUAUACUACUCUGAUGUUAUUAUUUUAGAAAUCAUAAGGGGCUAAGUAUGUCUGGGGCAGUUUGGAGCUCAACCCCUGCACACAAGCUGUGGAGAUGGCUGGAGAUGCUGACAGCUCAACAAGGAGAUGCAAAAACAAGAGCAAACUGCAUGGAGCUGCAAAAACGUAUGGUUAUUUUUGCACAAGAGUAUCAUCACUGUAAUACGCUUUAAGUGGUGUCAAAUAAUGUGUAAUUUUUGCAACAGUUAGCAACUGACAUCCAUGCCUUAUGAAUACCCCCAAUCAUUUUUUAUCUAAAUCUAGACCCAAACUCACAGAAACAGAGUGUACAGCUGUGGUUUCAUGGGCACUGUUGCUAUUUCUAAUCAAAAUUGUUCUGAUCUAAGAAUUGGAGUCAAACUGUUUAGAAUUAGUGUGACUGUAAUACAAUACAGUGUACAUAUACUCUCAUCUUUUUAACCUGAACAUCUUGCAACAGGUGCAAAAAUGUACUCAUAUUUUGUCUUGAGCUUUACUUUAAAAAUAUUGAUCUGUUGAACAGCUGUUUUGGUGGUUUUAAAAACAUAGUUCACCACUCACUAAUAAAAUCAUGGAGGUUAUUAACAGGAGGAUGAAGCAAGGUAAAAAUUGAGUUCGACCAAAAUUAGUCUUUUUAUUGGUUUAUAGGCAGGUUGAAUUGACCCACUUGCAAUAAUUCUACCAUAAAAGGUUAUUUCUGUUGGUUUUCUAAAGGUGUCCAGUAUCUCCUUCAUGUUAAACAGACAGUAGAGCCAAAGUCAAACGUGACACCCAGCUCCAAUAGAAAGGUGACCUCACAGGAAACAACCACCAUCAUCUUCCUUCAGGAAACAUCUGGGCCGACACUUCACAACUUUAACAACCGAUCAGCAGAGACAGAAAAGCAGGCGUGUGUGGGAGUGCCACACUGGUUUCACUUUUAUCACCACAAAGAGGGAGUAAUCAGGAGGAUUAUAAGGGCAACAAGGAAAUGACCCCACACUUCAUUGUUUCCACUGAGAACUCCUCUGAGGCAGCACAGUGUGGGCUUACACUGGACAUGAAAAUGGAUAAAAUCAGGUUUCCGUGAGCACUGGCUGUCGGCCGAACAGCCAACACAUCAAAAAACUACAGCUACCUUCUUCUCCUGCUGUUUACUUUGAUAAAAUACAUGGCAAGCUUGGACCUACUUUUUCUGCAAAUUUGGUAUCCUCUUUAUUUCAAUACAAGCCUGAGAAAGAUGUCUCUUAUUGUGAACAUUUCCUUCACUUACUUUUAGUAAUUUUCCUGUUAUUCCUUAUCAGUUUUGGGGUGGUGGUCUUUUGUUGUUUGAUUUAGGUAGUUAGGGUAGACAGAUUUUUAUUUUGUUCUAUUCACAAGGUAAAAAUUACACUGUACAACAUCGGUUAAUUCUUCGUUUGUUAUAUUCAUUCAUUGAUUUGUUCAGCAUUAACAUCUAGUUUUUUAUGUUGCUUCUUUUUGGCACAAAGGGUCAGUAUUGAAAAACACGACACUAUUUAUAUCAUUUACAUUACAUUGUAUCAUCUAUUAUUAUUACCAAUGUUUUUAUUAAGUUAAUGUAUCAUGUAAAUGUGCUUGGAUACAUGGAUGUCCACAAACAUCCUUAGUUUGCUCACCUUAUUUUUUUUUAUUUCCAUUAUUCCUCCUCCACGCCGACGCACACAAGUCCAUGCAGCUUUCCUCCUCUCUUACACAAUGGAGUAUCUGAAAAUUUGACAAUAUCCAUCUUUAUCCUAAAGAAUAAAACACACUUUUUCGUAAUCUUCCAUUCAAUAAUCAAUUCAUCACAAAAGGUGACCUAUGUGAUUUUUUUUUACAAAAGUUUUGCAAAACUCUUAAAUUAAAGGGAUACUAUCACUGAAAUUUAAGUUAUCGUCAAACACACUGAAUAACCGAGUAAGACACCCUCUCGAGAGAUGAAUGUUGCUGACU
rnacentral:lncRNA from 1 species